rnacentral:rRNA from 1 species
GUCUACGGCCAUGCUACCCUGAACAAUCCCAAUCCCAUCUGAUCUCGGAAGCUAAGCAGGGUCGGGCAUGGUUAGUACUUGGAUGGAAGACCAGCUAAGACCAGGGGCUGGCUGUAGGCG